rnacentral:rRNA from 1 species
GUCGAGCGGUAGCACAGAGAGCUUGCUCUCGGGUGACGAGCGGCGGACGGGUGAGUAAUGUCUGGGAAACUGCCUGAUGGAGGGGGAUAACUACUGGAAACGGUAGCUAAUACCGCAUAACGUCGCAAGACCAAAGUGGGGGACCUUCGGGCCUCAUGCCAUCAGAUGUGCCCAGAUGGGAUUAGCUAGUAGGUGGGGUAACGGCUCACCUAGGCGACGAUCCCUAGCUGGUCUGAGAGGAUGACCAGCCACACUGGAACUGAGACACGGUCCAGACUCCUACGGGAGGCAGCAGUGGGGAAUAUUGCACAAUGGGCGCAAGCCUGAUGCAGCCAUGCCGCGUGUGUGAAGAAGGCCUUCGGGUUGUAAAGCACUUUCAGCGGGGAGGAAGGCGGUGAGGUUAAUAACCUUGUCGAUUGACGUUACCCGCAGAAGAAGCACCGGCUAACUCCGUGCCAGCAGCCGCGGUAAUACGGAGGGUGCAAGCGUUAAUCGGAAUUACUGGGCGUAAAGCGCACGCAGGCGGUCUGUCAAGUCGGAUGUGAAAUCCCCGGGCUCAACCUGGGAACUGCAUUCGAAACUGGCAGGCUAGAGUCUUGUAGAGGGGGGUAGAAUUCCAGGUGUAGCGGUGAAAUGCGUAGAGAUCUGGAGGAAUACCGGUGGCGAAGGCGGCCCCCUGGACAAAGACUGACGCUCAGGUGCGAAAGCGUGGGGAGCAAACAGGAUUAGAUACCCUGGUAGUCCACGCCGUAAACGAUGUCGAUUUGGAGGUUGUGCCCUUGAGGCGUGGCUUCCGGAGCUAACGCGUUAAAUCGACCGCCUGGGGAGUACGGCCGCAAGGUUAAAACUCAAAUGAAUUGACGGGGGCCCGCACAAGCGGUGGAGCAUGUGGUUUAAUUCGAUGCAACGCGAAGAACCUUACCUGGUCUUGACAUCCACAGAACUUUCCAGAGAUGGAUUGGUGCCUUCGGGAACUGUGAGACAGGUGCUGCAUGGCUGUCGUCAGCUCGUGUUGUGAAAUGUUGGGUUAAGUCCCGCAACGAGCGCAACCCUUAUCCUUUGUUGCCAGCGGUUCGGCCGGGAACUCAAAGGAGACUGCCAGUGAUAAACUGGAGGAAGGUGGGGAUGACGUCAAGUCAUCAUGGCCCUUACGACCAGGGCUACACACGUGCUACAAUGGCAUAUACAAAGAGAAGCGACCUCGCGAGAGCAAGCGGACCUCAUAAAGUAUGUCGUAGUCCGGAUUGGAGUCUGCAACUCGACUCCAUGAAGUCGGAAUCGCUAGUAAUCGUAGAUCAGAAUGCUACGGUGAAUACGUUCCCGGGCCUUGUACACACCGCCCGUCACACCAUGGGAGUGGGUUGCAAAAGAAGUAGGUAGCUUAACCUUCGGGAGGGCG